rnacentral:rRNA from 1 species
UUAUGACAUCUGACCUCAAAUCAGGUAGGACUACCCGCUGAACUUAAGCAUAUCAAAGCGGGGAGA